rnacentral:lncRNA from 1 species
CGAGCGACACCCUCAUCGACGACGACCAUAAGUGGCAAGUUAGCGAUGGUGCAGCCAAUCUAUGUGGUACUUGUUUCUAUGCUUGAACACCUGAAUUCGAUGAACUUUGGUGAAGUUCGGCGCACACCAAAAACCGAACCGAGAAUACCAACACCGAAGUCAUCGGUUUUUUAUUUUUACAUCUACCGAUCGGUUCUUCAUUUGGGAACACCGAUUUUUUUCAUCACCGAAAACACCGAACCGAAAUGUCGGUUUAAACUGAAUACCCAC